rnacentral:tRNA from 1 species
GUUUCUAGGGUGUCCCAUAUGCACAUUAGAUUUUCAUUCUAAAGGAAUAAAUUAAAUUUAUUAGAAAUA